rnacentral:rRNA from 1 species
GACACUGAACAUUGAGCCUUGAUGUGUAGGAUAGGUGGGAGGCUUGGAAGUGUGGACGCCAGUCUGCAUGGAGCCGACCUUGAAAUACCACCCUUUAAUGUUUGAUGUUCUAACGUUGACCCGUAAUCCGGGUUGCGGACAGUGUCUGGUGGGUAGUUUGACUGGGGCGGUCUCCUCCUAAAGAGUAACGGAGGAGCACGAAGGUUGGCUAAUCCUGGUCGGACAUCAGGAGGUUAGUGCAAUGGCAUAAGCCAGCUUGACUGCGAGCGUGACGGCGCGAGCAGGUGCGAAAGCAGGUCAUAGUGAUCCGGUGGUUCUGAAUGGAAGGGCCAUCGCUCAACGGAUAAAAGGUACUCCGGGGAUAACAGGCUGAUACCGCCCAAGAGUUCAUAUCGACGGCGGUGUUUGGCACCUCGAUGUCGGCUCAUCACAUCCUGGGGCUGAAGUAGGUCCCAAGGGUAUGGCUGUUCGCCAUUUAAAGUGGUACGCGAGCUGGGUUUAGAACGUCGUGAGACAGUUCGGUCCCUAUCUGCCGUGGGCGCUGGAGAACUGAGGGGGGCUGCUCCUAGUACGAGAGGACCGGAGUGGACGCAUCACUGGUGUUCGGGUUGUCAUGCCAAUGGCACUGCCCGGUAGCUAAAUGCGGAAGAGAUAAGUGCUGAAAGCAUCUAAGCACGAAACUUGCC